GAAGUCAUAGUUUAUAAAGAACAUUUUAAUUACAAUAAAAAAGACUAAGUGUGACUUUU
rnacentral:tRNA from 1 species